UUUUUUUUUUUUUUUUUUUUUUUUUUUACCUGAGAGCAUUUUACUGGGUCAAGAAAGACGCAAAAAGGAUCAUGGGUUGGGGGUGGUGUUCACAGGGUUUGAAAAUCUGAUUGCCUCCAGCCCAGAGGAUUUAGAGACCAGGCUCUUCAGGGAAAAAGCCAGGAGACUACAUGUGGUCACAGUGUUCCCAGGCCAGGCGUGUGUGGAGUGGGACAGGUGCUGAUCUAGGAUGACAAGAUGUCAGGGACUGAUAUGGUGGGACUGAUCAGAAAGCAGGUGUAUGUGUGCUGGGGGUUGGGGGGCAGGCCUAGAUAGAGUCACAUUGGCCUCCGGUAUCCCCAGGUCAGGUGGGUGUGAAGAGAAGGGGAGCCAUCACUUGAGCACAGGUGACAAAGUCGUCGGGCUGGCUAGGGGUCGAUGUGUAUUUCUGCAGAGGUCAGACACACACUCACCAAGAUGGUGGUAGUGAAACUGGUCACAGGGGUUUGACGGGGCCUGGUGUAUGUGGGAGGGGGUUCUGCUGAACCCAAUGCCAAGGUCAUCGUGGCCAGGUUGGGGAAAAGGGACAACCCCCCUCCCCCACGCCAGACACCGUCACAGGGAGAGCGAGUGGGAGAAUCCUUGGGUCAGAAGAGAUGGGGAGGGGUUCUAUGUGGUCAGGUGACCUCAGGUGUACCCAGGCCAGACGUGCGUGUGUACAUGGAUUGUCUGCUGCACUGCCAUGACAAACUCCCAGGCCGAGGGAGGGGGGUGCUGGACAGUCUCUGAGAUGACGGGAGUGGAAUCAUCAGGUCAGAAAGGACGUGUCUGUGUUUUUGGGGCGACCUGGAUGUGGUCACGGUCGCGUGGAGUCGGGGGUCCCCGGCCCUGAGGAUCACGGGCGAUGGGGCGGGUCAUAAGCUGGGGGCCUCGCCUGGGUCCGGGAACUGGGCUCCCAGUCCCGAGGGUGCGAACCUCCCAGAGCUCGCCGGCCCCAUGCCCCCCAGGUCACCACGACCCUCGCCGCGUGAGCCCACAGCGAGGGGUGGAGAGGAGGAGCGCGAGCGCCCCUGAAGUGGGGACGGGGCCUCAGGACACUUCUUUAUCCUGGUAGACAGUCUCAUUCCUAAGUGAUCAACUCAUGACCAGGUGUCCCUCUCACAAGAAAGUUGUUUAUAGUCGCAGACGCCCUUGUGACCCUUGUCUGACCUGUGUCCGGUGUAUUCCUGCCAAGAGAGCCACUCUCUAGGAGAACGCCGACUGGGAAGGAAGUCAGGUCCGGGUGUGCGGGUGGCGUGAGACACAGAGAGGCAGCUCCACAGAACACGUGAAAUACCAGAGGCAGCGUCUUCUUUACAGAUUCCUCUCAGGGCCAGCAGGAAGGAAGAAACCCUCUGGGCCGUCCAUGCUUAGCCAGCAGGUGGGGAGCAAGAGAGAGUGAGGGCCCUGUGGGCCUAGGCCUUAAUCCGGGUCCAGGCAUUCCCAGGCCGGCUUUCCGUGGGGAGUUCUCCUCGGUGGGUUGAAAGCCAGCAGGCAG
rnacentral:lncRNA from 1 species